UUCCUACGGGACGCAGCAGUGAGGAAUAUUGGUCAAUGGCCGAAGGGCUGAACCAGCCAAGCCGCGUGAAGGAAUAAGGCCCUACGGGUCGUAAACUUCUUUAGUCAGGGAACAAAGGGAGCCACGCGUGGCGCUGUGAGUGUACCUGAAGAAUAAGCAUCGGCUAACUCCGUGCCAGCAGCCGCGGUAAUACGGAGGAUGCGAGCGUUAUCCGGAUUUAUUGGGUUUAAAGGGUGCGUAGGCGGGCUUUUAAGUCAGCGGUAAAAAUUCGGGGCUCAACCCCGUCCGGCCGUUGAAACUGGGGG
rnacentral:rRNA from 1 species